rnacentral:rRNA from 1 species
CGGCAGCAUGGAGAGCUUGCUCUCUGAUGGCGAGUGGCGAACGGGUGAGUAAUAUAUCGGAACGUGCCUAGUAAUGGGGAAUAACUAAUCGAAAGGUUAGCUAAUACCGCAUACGCCCCAAGGGGGAAAGCAGGGGAUCUUCGGACCUUGCACUAUUGGAUGAGCCUGCGUUGGAUUAGCUAGUUGGUAGGGUAAAGGCCUACCAAGGCGACGAUCCAUAACUGGUCUGAGAGGAUGAUCAGUCAAACUGGAACUGAGACACGGUCCAGACUCC